rnacentral:rRNA from 1 species
GACGAACGCUGGCGGCGUGCUUAACACAUGCAAGUCGAACGGUGAAGCGCCUUCCUUUUUGGUGGGUGUGGAUGAGUGGCGAACGGGUGAGUAACACGUGAGUAACCUGCCCCCUUCUUCUGGAUAACCGCAUGAAAGUGUGGCUAAUACGGGAUAUUCUGGGUCUGUCGCAUGAUGGGUCUGGGAAAGAUAUUGUUUCGGUGGGGGAUGGGCUCGCGGCCUAUCUGCUUGUUGGUGGGGUGAUGGCCUACCAAGGCGGGGACGAGUAGCCGGCCUGGGAGGGUGGACGGCCACACUGGGACUGAGAAACGGCCCAGACUCCUACGGGCAGCAGCAGGGGGGAAUAUUGCACAAUGGGCGCAAGCCUGAUGCAGCGACGCCGCGUGAGGGAUGGAGGCCUUCGGGUUGUGAACCUCUUUCGCCAGUGAAGCAGGCCUGCCUUGUUUGUGGGCGGGUUGACGGUAGCUGGAUAAGAAGCGCCGGCUAACUACGUG